GAAAUCCCAAGUUCUGAUAACACUGAGUCUCCAUCCCCCUCUGGCCACUGCUGGCUGGAGUCUAGCAGCUGCCCACUUGGAUCUGGAAGUGGAACAACACUUUUUAAUCUGCUACUGUCCUUUAUCCCUUGGGUCCUAUGCAGUAAGGAGUUCCAGUACCCCCUGCCCACCACAGUAUUCCCCUGCCACCAUUUUUCUUAUUUUAGAGGUAAGGGGAAAAGCUCCUUCUUAGUAGUCUCAUGCCUUUUUGGUUUUGUUGCUCUAGGCGUUCCCUUCCCAAAGAACUUCCUCCAGAUCUGCAAGAAGAUCCUGUGCCGUCUUUUUCGGGUGUUCGUCCACGUCUACAUCCACCAUUUUGACCGCGUCAUUGUGAUGGGUGCAGAGGCUCACGUCAACACCUGCUACAAACACUUCUAUUACUUUGUCACAGAGAUGAACCUCAUAGACCGCAAGGAGCUGGAGCCCUUGAAAGAGAUGACAACCAGGAUGUGUCACUAACACUCCACCCCAUCUUCUGGAAGGAAGGAACACUGUUUCUCCCAGGAGUCCCCAUGGGACAGAAAGUGGUCCUCUGUGAAUGAAAUGAUCCCGGAGCAGGAAAGCUGCAGCCCCACAAGGACUUCUGAAAGACGUUCCUUACCUACUUCACGUGCUCUUAACCCUCUAAGUGCUGCUAGCCAGGACCUGUGGGCCAUACAGACCACAGCAUGAAGGACCAGCCUUAACCCCUUGGGCCAAGGACAGUGCAGGAGAGGUUGCUGCACUUCCGCCCACAUCACACUUCUGCCCGUGACCGGUCCUCUAGGCUUUACUGGAAUUCAGGUUUUGAGACUGAGGGGUUUUGUUGUGGUGGUUCUUUUCCAUUUAUGUCUUGUCAGACUUCUGGACUAACUUCUCUGUCACUUAUUUUUCUAAGUUCUAGGCACACGCGUACCAUAUAGACAGUACGUUUCCUAUCCCAUCUCUCCUCGACUCCCUGCAGGCUCCAUAACCUUAUAUGGAGCUUGGAGCUGGGGAAAGGCCACAGUUCUUCUGGUAGCAUCCGUGCCAUUUCCCUCAUGGGCAGUUUCACCAGAAACCGCUGACUCGAUGGGUGACAUGAUCUGUGUCCCUGGACAGGCCAUUCACAUGCUAACCUUUGGAAAGAGUCUGGUGACUGGAAAUAAAGCUGGUGUGUUAUCAGUUUACCCUAGUUGGAAUGCAUUUGUUGUAGCCACAGUCAUUUCUAGAUGCUUCCAUUUAAGAUGUGCUUUCCCAUUCCCCAGAAGAGAGGAAAUGGUUUUAAAAUGACCAGUAAGGUCCUUGAGCCAGAUUAGUGCAGUGUUUGUUCUUUAUUGAGGGCUAGUGAGUCCCGGCUGAUCCUACAUAUUAUAUUAUGGAGGUUUCAGCAAUAAGACAGCAGACAGUUGGUACGUGUAUAUUAAAUACCCUUGACUUACAUACAGCCUUCCCAACUUGUCCCCAGAGAUUCUGAACCCAGCUGGUAUUUCUUCUCUUCUCUACUUUCCUCUCCUUCCCAGUCUUCCCAUUCUUUCAUGUGUGUUCUCUCAUCUGUGCGCACCUCUCUCUCUCUCUCUCUCUCUCUCUCUCUCUCUCUCUCUCUCUUAUUGUCCCUCCAUCUCCUAUGCUAUAUGACACAGAAUUCAUUUCAGUCCGGCGGUCUUCCUUCAAUCCAUUCAAUCUGUCCCUUCCAACCCCCAGAAUAACCAUCAGAUGCUACGCUGUCUCCUGCCUUUGGAGGUCCUAGUAAACGAAUCACUGCCUUCUCUGAUUUCUUCACAGAGCUGGUUCUGACAGCUUGACUAAGAAGUACCCAUACUUCCCCUGAUAUUUGAUUUUAAUAAAGUAUCCUGGUGGAGGGAAGUAGAUAUGAAUGUAUUCUUGCAGUUGGUGUAAUAACAAAAGCCGACUAAGUUAGUCUGAUCUUAUUUAGUCUAUAUAAUGUGUUAAAGCCACUCGCAGCCACCACAAAAGCCUAGAAAACAUGACUUCAUUUAUGUAAAUGAAGAAGCUGACCGUAUGGACUCGGUGGCAUGACAGAUGCAGAACAGCCCUUACGUCCUGUCUCGUAGACGUUGUCUUCUGAAGCCCAACACAACCACUGCUAUAUUAUUGACUUGUUCCAACCUACUGGGAUGUUUUUCUUUUCUCCCUAAGUAACUUUAAGAGGCCAAGAUAGGCAAUGUUGUUGUUUUGUUUUGUUUUGUUUUUUGUCAAUAUCAGUUUGGGCUAAAAGCAUUCUCUGGCUGCCCUAAAGGUCCAGAGGAAAAGGAGCCCUGAAUUCCUGACCCAGGCAAUACAUAAUACCACACAUGGGUGUGCAGAAUGGUGGGCUGAGAAAUGUCAGCCCAGUCCGCUUAGCCUCGGGGAGUCUCUGCAGCCUUGUACCUUGAAUGACUGCAGGACUCACGCAGUAGAAAGUAGAGUAUGCUCCUGCAUUUCAGUGAUGCUUAGUCAAAGAGGAAGCCUGAUUGAAGACAUUUGUCAUUUCUGAAGUUAUUUUCUGUCCAUUGCUUGGGUGUGUGAAAUCUCCGUCUAACUUAAAACAUCCAAAAAUAUUUUUUUUUAAGUCUUGGAAUGAUCUUCUUUGGCUUUUAUUGCUACUUGCACUAAUCAGCUCUUCGGGUAAAAUCUAGCCAACUGCUCUGAUUUUUUCAAGUAUGAGGUGUUCAUAGUCAUAUAGAACUUUGUUUGGCAAAUUCUAAAAAAAAAGUCUUCAUGACUGUCCGUAAGCCUUUGGCCUGCCCUGCUCUCCCAUGCAUCUGUAGUGGGAAUGGAAGACCCUUGUAGCCCCUAGGACGGCUCCAAGCCUAGUUCUGUCUCCUAACCUUGUCUAACAUUUAUCUUAAUUGGGGGGAAAUUAAAAGUUGAAAGAUCACCACGAGCACCCUAUGUCCAUGAGUGUACCAAGUGUUAGCAUAUUGCCUCGAUUUCCUUCUUACUGUAAAUGCACUCAUUGCUGAACCAUCAAAAAUAUAAUAAAUUACAGUCAUCAUAAAGUUUUAAAAUGCUUUCUCAUACUCCUCCUGUUAGUA
rnacentral:lncRNA from 1 species